CAGAAACAUGGUGGGAUGACUUGCACAACUGGAAUGUUCCAAUGGGUGGCUAUGAGCUCUUCAGAAGGGGUGGAAAUGCAACACAACAAAGAGGAAACAUUCUAGGAGAUUCCUGGAGUGUGUGGAACUUUUUAACACAGAUGAUGAAUUGCAAAUAUGCUUGAUCCUUACAGAGGAUUUUACACGAGAAAGGUGGAAGUAUGCCACACAAUGCAUAGUGUUCAAAUUCUACCAUCAAAUGCUAUUUUUCCUAAGUGUAAUCCUGGUGUGACUCUGGUGAAAUAAAAG